rnacentral:tRNA from 1 species
GUUCAGGGGAAUGGGAAUCGAACCCACAGUGUUCCGCUUAUCGGGCAGAUGCCAUGUCCACUAGGCUACCCUGGA